UACAGAGGUCUCAAGCGUUGUUCGGAAUCACUGGGCGUAAAGGGUGCGUAGGCCGCACGGUAAGUCAGGUGUGAAAGCCCGGAGCUCAACUCCGGAAUUGCACCCGAUACUGCCGUGCUUGAGGACUGGAGAGGAGUCUGGAAUUCACAGUGGAGCAGUGAAAUGCGUAGAUAUUGUGAGGAACACUAGUGGCGAAGGCGAGACUCUGGACAGUUCCUGACGCUGAGGCACGAAGGCCAGGGGAGCAAACGGG
rnacentral:rRNA from 1 species